rnacentral:rRNA from 1 species
GAUGAACGCUGGCGGCGUGCCUAAUACAUGCAAGUCGAGCGAACAGACGAGGAGCUUGCUCCUCUGACGUUAGCGGCGGACGGGUGAGUAACACGUGGAUAACCUACCUCUAAGACUGGGAUAACUUCGGGACACCGGAGCUAAUACCGGAUAAUAUAUUGAACCGCAUGGUUCAAUAGUGAAAGACGGUUUUGCUGUCACUUAUAGAUGGAUCCGCGCCGCAUUAGCUAGUUGGUAAGGUAACGGCUUACCAAGGCAACGAUGCGUAGCCGACCUGAGAGGGUGAUCGGCCACACUGGAACUGAGACACGGUCCAGACUCCUACGGGAGGCAGCAGUAGGGAAUCUUCCGCAAUGGGCGAAAGCUUGACGGAGCAACGCCGCGUGAGUGAUGAAGGUCUUCGGAUCGUAAAACUCUGUUAUUAGGUAAGAACAAAUGUGUAAGUAACUAUGCACGUCUUGACGGUACCUAAUCAGAAAGCCACGGCUAACUACGUG